rnacentral:rRNA from 1 species
CGCCCCUUGAAAAUCCGGGUGCGAUGACUGAAUCUCGCUCUGGGCCGUACCCAUAUCCGCAGCAGGUCUCCAAGGUGAACAGCCUCUGGUGCGMUGGAACAAUGUGGGUAAGGGAAGUCGGCAAGCCGGAUCCG